UGCAAGGCUUGGAUCUCAACUACCUUCUCGAAAAUAAUGAAGCAUCAGAAUUUUUGGUGGUUGGUAAUAUACCGACACUUAAUGCUAAUAAUGAUCAAAAGAUAUUAUCGCCCACACUGUCCAACGAUAAUACUGAAAAUGUUGCCUUUGGACGAGAAGAUGUUUCUCCGAUUGAUGAAAUUGAAACAGUGCAAAUAGUGACAACCCCUAGCAUAAUUCCUGAACCUGUUCAAACAGUUACGCAGCAUAACGGAGACAGUAUUACCUUUGAACAACCAACUUUAUUUACCCAUCACAUCGAUCAGGUGACAAAUACUGAAAUAUUGGAAAAGAUUGAUGAGGCCAAAGCUGAAAUUGUUUCCACCGUG